CCCUUAGAUGUCCUGGGCCGCACGCGUGAUACACUGAUGCAUACAGCGAGUACUUUCCAGCUCCGCGAGGCAGCUGGUAAUCAGCAAUAUGCAUCGUGCUGGGGAUAGAUCUUUGGAAUUAUAGAUCUUGAACGAGGAAUUCCUAGUAAGCGCAGGUCAUUAGCUUGCGCUGAUUAAGUCCCUGCCCUUUGUACACACCGCCCGUCGCUCCUACCGAUUUCGAGUGAUUCGGUGAACCUUUUGGACAGCGUCUGUCCUCGUGUCAGAUGCUGAAAGUCAAGUAAACCAUAUCACUUAGAGGAAGGAGAAGUCGUAACA
rnacentral:rRNA from 1 species